UACGUAGGUGGCGAGCGUUGUCCGGAAUUACUGGGCGUAAAGAGCGCGCAGGCGGCUGGUCAAGUCCGACGUGAAAUCUCCCGGCUUAACUCCGAAACUGCAUUCGAUACUGCCGUGCUUGAGGACUGGAGAGGAGACUGGAAUUUACGGUGUAGCGGUGAAAUGCGUAGAUAUCGUAAGGAAGACCAGUGGCGAAGGCGGGUCUCUGGACAGUUCCUGACGCUGAGGCACGAAGGUCAGGGGAGCAAACGGG
rnacentral:rRNA from 1 species